UCCGUCUUAGCUCAAUUGGAAGAGCACACGGCUGUUAACCGUGGGGCACGGGGAUCGAAACCCCGAGAUGGAG
rnacentral:tRNA from 1 species